rnacentral:rRNA from 1 species
UACGUAGGGGGCGAGCGUUGUCCGGAGUACUGGGCGUAAAGCGCACGCAGGCGGUCUGCUAAGUUUGGAGUGACAGUUGGGUGGCUUAACUGCCAAAGUGCUUCGAAAACUGACAGACUUGAGGGCUCAGAGGGACACGGAAUCCGGGUGGAGUGGUGAAGCGUAGAGAUCCGGAGGAACACCAAAGGCGAAGGCAGUGUCCUGGGGAGUACCUGACGCUCAGGUGCGAAAGCCAGGGGAGGCGAACGGG